AGAGUUUGAUCCUGGCUCAGAUUGAACGCUGGCGGCAUGCCUUACACAUGCAAGUCGAACGGCAGCACGGGGGCAACCCUGGUGGCGAGUGGCGAACGGGUGAGUAAUACAUCGGAACGUGCCCUGAAGUGGGGGAUAACGUAGCGAAAGUUACGCUAAUACCGCAUAUUCUGUGAGCAGGAAAGCAGGGGAUCUUCGGACCUUGUGCUUUAGGAGCGGCCGAUGUCGGAUUAGCUAGUUGGUGAGGUAAAGGCUCACCAAGGCGACGAUCCGUAGCGGGUCUGAGAGGAUGAUCCGCCACACUGGGACUGAGACACGGCCCAGACUCCUACGGGAGGCAGCAGUGGGGAAUUUUGGACAAUGGGCGCAAGCCUGAUCCAACCAUGCCGCGUGAGUGAAGAAGGCCUUCGGGUUGUAAAGCUCUUUCGGUUGGGAGAGAAAUUGCACUGGUUAAUACUCUAGUGUA
rnacentral:rRNA from 1 species